CACAAAUUAAGUCUAAUUUGGGUAAUCCAAGCUCAUUAUGAUCUGUUGACAAGAACAGAACAUUUAUUGUUCCAAGCAGUGUUUCUCAUCAUGAUUUUAAAAAAAAGAGAGAAACCAGAAGUGGGCUGGCUAGUAAAUUGAUUACCACUUCUCAUUAGAAGCCCGACAAGGACAGAAGACAGGGUCCGAUCAAGCAUCCUCUGAAGUUUAUGCAAAGACUCAAAUGGACUAGAAAGUACAGGAUCUUAUCUGUUCUUUCCACAAGGUCCUGCUUCGUAUGUGACAGCAGAAGAGAGCUCCAGCUCAAUGUCAGUCCCACUGUGCCUCUGGCCUGGUUCUUUAUUCUCAUAUUCACUUUACUCUGUGCCAGAUCAAGGUGGUGAGACACACAGCUGCAUGCUGUGAGGCUGCAUGCUGUGAGGCAGCAGGCAGACCCAGCAAGUCUUAGUAAGAAGAACGGAGAUCAUCUUGGAUCUUCUGAAAUCCAAGCAUGCAGUACGAAAGGAAAGCUUUGCCUUUGCGGGGGAAGGGGAAGCAUCUCUUCUUCCCCUCCCUGCUAAGUUUGGAUAGUGGUGAUGAUAGUGGAGGUGAUUUUAAAUGGGUGAUAUGAAGUCAAUUCUCCAUUCACCUCCCUGACAAAUCUUGAGAGCAACAAGUUGGCUGUUGCCCCUUUGCCACCACCAAAGGUAACAGCAGGGUACAUUAGUUUGAUGUUUCUUCUGAAAUGAUUGGCAGCAUUGACCUUAAACUGUUAACCAUUAUGCUUCUGGGUUAACAAAACUUUGGGAUGAACAGGAACAGUUCUCACUUGAUUCAGAGCUAUUAUUUUAGGUUCUCAACUUCCUUAGAUACAAGACAACCCCUUGACAAAACACCAGCUCUUAGUUUUCACUAAACACUACAGAAAAGCAAUAGAGCAGCUCUGCUGCAAGUAACUUAGAAAGGCCACAACAAGUCAACAUGGUUUUAACACUGUGGAAUCCAAUUUGAAAUCUCUGGUUUUAUCUUGCGAAACACAUUUGCACAUCUAACAGUAGCAUUGUGUGGCACCUCACAACAUCCUUGAAAGGAUCUCAGGGCACCCUGGUUGGGAAUCAUUGGUUUAGGAUACCAGUACAUUCAGACAGACAUCAAAGAUCCGUUUAUACUUAUCUUCAUCAUCACAAGGGGUGGACAUUAAACAUUACGGUCUGUUGGUCAAGCAUGCAAGUUCAAUAAGCAAGGCGUUUGGGUAACGAAAGAACUUCAUUAGGUACUGGGCACUCUACAGUAUUGUUGAGAGCAGCAUCUGGACAGAAGCUGGACUCUCAAGUGUAUCUACUUGCAAGAGGCAGUGUUGUGGUUAUUAGGCUGGAACAUUGACCAAUCAAUUUGCUAAUUUCUGUAUGUAACCACAGUAAUGUACCCACAGAACACUCCCACAGUCCAGAAAUGGUAUCCUCAUCAGAGAGGGAUGGGGAAAUGUAUGCAAGACAGGUUAAGUGACUUGUGCAAGAAGCUAGUAAGAGCCACCCUUAGAGUAAGGUACAGCCCCUGGGAGUUCCUGCUCCCUAGUCCUGUGCUUUGCUUCGGUUAUACUUGUGUAAAGGCAGAGUGACUUUGUGAAAGUCAGCCAAACAACUCUUUGCUCAUGGUCCUGUAGAUGCAAUCAGAGCCUAGCCUCACCCUGAUCUUUGAAGCUGCUUUUUCUGUGGGAGUGGGCAGGUUUAAGGAGUUUGCUGUUCAAUAACACCCACACCUGGGUAAAACUUCCAGGCAGGUCUGCAAAACAGUAGAUAAUUGAGUAAAAGCUCCAGCAGUAAUUAAUCAAGCUGGAGCAGUUCCUGCAUAAAGCAAUUUGCCAGAAGAUUCAGUUAUUGAUUCCCCAGGAAAUACCCUGCCUGUGGCUAUUUCACCUAAUUGGGUUAAUAUGUGGUUCCAGUCACUCUUGCACAUGGGAUAAAUAUAUGGCAUAUUUCUUUUGCAGCACUGAGAAUAGAUUCCCCAAGUCAGGAUCUGCUGUGUUGAAUACAAUACUUGUUGCCAAAAAGCCAGAAGCAUAUUGGGUUUUAUUAACAGGACUCACCUGCAAAUCAAGGGAAGAAAUUCUUCUGCUCUAUUCAGCACUGGUGAGGCCUCACCUGGAGUACUGUGUUCAGUUUUGGGCCCCACACUUCCAGAAGGAUGUGGACAGAUUGGAAAGAGUCCAGCACAAAGCAAUAGAAAAUGAUUAGGGGCUUCAGAGGUGGUGCCCGGGGGAACAGAGCCUCACCUAUUUUCUGCUGGUCCCUCCGGGCCUGGCCUGCUGCCCCCUGACCAUGCGAGUGGCCCUCCUCUGGACCCUCUCAAUGCUAGCCACAUCCCUCUUGAAGUGCGGCGCCCAGCACUGGAUGCAGUACUCCAACUGCGGCCUGACCAGCACCGCAUAGAGGGGAAGGAUCACCUCCCUGGACCUGCUUGUGAUGCAUGUGUAGAUGCACAAUAAGGUGCAGUUAGCCUUACUGACCGGUUCCUUGCAUUGGCGGCUAAUGUCCAUCCUGGAGUCAACAAUAACUCCAAGAUCCCUUACAGCCACUGUGUUGUUGAGUUAAAUCAAUGUUAAAAAAAUUUAUAAGACAUAACUCUACAGUACAUAGUAUUUUUCCCCCAAUACUUGUAUUUUCUGAGUGGUUGCAGAAUAUUAAUGAGCCAGGCAUACUCCUUAUAUACCUAUUCCAUUUCUAGCUAAAUGUCUAUGUUUGAGUCA